AGAGUUGAUCCUGGCUCAGGAUGAACGCUGGCGGCGUGCCUAACACAUGCAAGUCGAACGAAGCACUCUUGUUGAUCCUUCGGGUGAUACUUAGUGACUGAGUGGCGGACGGGUGAGUAACGCGUGGGUAACCUGCCCUGUACAGGGGGAUAACAGUCAGAAAUGACUGCUAAUACCGCAUAAGCGCAUGAAGGGACAUCCCUUUGUGUGAAAAAACUCCGGUGGUACAGGAUGGGCCCGCGUCUGAUUAGCUUGUUGGCGGGGUAAAGGCCCACCAAGGCGACGAUCAGUAGCCGGUCUGAGAGGAUGAACGGCCACAUUGGAACUGAGACACGGUCCAAACUCCUACGGGAGGCAGCAGUGGGGAAUAUUGCACAAUGGGGGGAACCCUGAUGCAGCAAACCGCCGCGUGAGUGAAGAAGUAUUUCGGUAUGUAAAGCUCUAUCAGCAGGGAAGAUAAUGACGGUACCUGACUAAGAAGCUCCGGCUAAAUACGUGCCAGCCGCAGC
rnacentral:rRNA from 1 species